AUCCGCAUUCAGCAAUAUUCCAGCUAUAUGGCGGUGGUCUGUAAAUAAUCGAGUCUGGACCAGACAAUCCAGAGAUCAACAGCAUGAGCAUCGAUCUUGGCAACUGGGAAGCGAUGACAAGUGUCAAUCAAGUCAG